rnacentral:misc_RNA from 1 species
GUAAUUAUUAACUUGUUCAGACGCUGAUUGAAAAUUGAAUAGGUUAUUAUGAUAUCCAAUCGGCGGGCAAGCCCGCCGAGGAAACAAAUAGUAUUUGAGAGACAAGGGUAUAAUACAGGAAGUACCAGGAGAGAGUUGUUGCUAGAAUAACUCUCCUACCUAAUACUUCUGCAUUGAAAGGUAAUGAUCCUUCCGCAGGUUCACCUACGGAAA